rnacentral:rRNA from 1 species
UCCAGACUCCUACGGGAGGCAGCAGUGGGGAAUAUUGCACAAUGGGGGAAACCCUGAUGCAGCGACGCCGCGUGAGCGAAGAAGUACCUCGGUAUGUAAAGCCCUGUCAGCAGGGAAGAAAAUGACGGUACCUGACUAAGAAGCCCCGGCUAACUACGUGCCAGCAGCCGCGGUAAUACGUAGGGGGCAAGCGUUAUCCGGAUUUACUGGGUGUAAAGGGAGCGUAGGCGGUUUAGCAAGUCAGAAGUGAAAGCCCGGGGCUCAACUCCGGGACUGCUUUUGAAACUGUUGAACUAGAGUGCAGGAGAGGUAAGUGGAAUUCCUAGUGUAGCGGUGAAAUGCGUAGAUAUUAGGAGGAACACCAGUGGCGAAGGCGGCUUACUGGACUGUAAAUGACGCUGAGGCUCGAAAGCGUGGGGAGCAAACAGGAUUAGAUACCCCAGUA